CUGCCCCCUGCUCCUGAUUCCCUUUCAGGAAUUUACAAACAUUUUCCCCUAGAUCAAUAUCCGUAUUGAUUAUUCAUUGUGAGAGAGUCGUGUGUCUUUGGUGAUCCAGCUUGCAGAGGGUAGCAGCUAAAGGCUGCUGCAGGGGAAAAAAUAACAGAAGGUGAGAGGGACUCAGCUCUGGCUAUGGUCUGCAGCUGUCACAUCUCAGAAAGGAAGAAGAGGAGACUGCUCCAGGAUGAAAGGAUGGAGAAGGGUGGAAGAGAAAGAGGGAGCAACAGCAAGAAAGAAUGGUGUGAGGACUGGACACCUGGUCCUAGGGAUCUCAACGGCUUGGAGGAAAGCCCCAUCAUCUUGGGUCUGCUGCUAGGUGCAAUGCUGUGGGUUCUUCUGCUCUGGGAGUGAAAAGUGACUCACGGUUUUGGUGUCUUCCUACGUAAGAGCUUUUGGUGGGGGGGAUUCCUUGGCUUGCUGACAGACAAGGAAGGACGCAGCCAGCAGUGAGGUAAAAAAAACACACACACAAAAAAACCAGGAUUCCUUUCCAACCGCUUCGCCGAGGAUGUGCACCCGUUCGGUUUGAUUUGAACAGCUUGCUGCUCUAAAUGGCAUGCGGAAGGAGGAUAAUUAAAAAGGCCAGCAUCACUUACUAAGUGAGUAAACACAAAGCCGUUCCAAACGUGCUCUCCAGCUAAUGAGAAGCUGUGAUUUCUUAUACUUCAAGGCAAAACAAGACAGGGAUGGGGGCUCAGCCGAGUGUAUGUCUGCAUGUGGACGUGGAUAUGGGGGUGGGCGGUGGUCCUUGGUGAUGGAGAUAAAUCGACUAAUUGUUGGCGAUGUUUAAAAAAGGGAUUACUGGAAAAGACGGUGAGAUGAUGACAGGAAGACAUCUUGGAUCAGAGCCAAAAAAAUAAUAAUCAAGGCAAAUCAAGUCUGCAGUUCGGAGAAAACACCCAUGGCUUGGGAAGCUCCGAUGGGAACACGGGAACCGCUGGAGUUCCUCAGCUGAGUCUGGGAAUAUUGUUGUGGGCACAAGAGGACAAGAUUCAGGAAAGAGUCAUGGCAUGCCAGCUUACACAGCUAUGCCACAUGCUGAGAAAAAAAAACCAAACCAAAUCCACACCAGACUCAAACAGUGAAAGCCAACAUAGCCAUUCCUUUGCAUUGGAGCCGUGCGGCUGGCUCAAAAUUGCUCCAUCUGUCUAAAGUAUAGUGCUUCUGCUAGUAGCUGCUCCUCCUCCCCGUCGUCUCCCGGAGCUACCUCACCAUUACAGAGUGGUACUGGGAAGAGGAGUGUGGGGAGAUUCCGUUUCCCAUUGGCAGGCGUCUGGCAAAUGUGCCAGGUGAUCAUCUUUGCCAUUUGGAUCGACAUAUGGCAGCUGGUUUGGGAAUUCUUCUGUUGCCACCCAGCUGUGGCUUGAGAUACAAAACUGGCUUGCUGAGAUGAGGUACGAAGCCUGGGUGAUGAUCAAAUUCCAUCGGCAGCUGGAAGAAGCCAGCUACUGCUGUCCCUCAGCAUCAAGGAUUCAAAGAUGAUUUCAGUAAAAUGUCUGAGCCCUGAUAUGUAAGGAAGAGUAUAAAUAUUUGCAUUACAAGGUAUUCUUUUGAGGAUUUCUCACUAAAUCUGGAGCUCAUUGAUUUGAGUAGCCUGGCUGGCCAGCAAGCUCCCCGGAUCUGCCUCUCUCUGUUUCUCUAGUGCUGUACUACGGAUGUUCUGUAUGUCUAGUUUUUACAAGGAUCUUGGGGAUUUGAACUCAGGCCCUUUAUAUAUAGAAGGUGCUGUAUUCACCAAGCCAUGUUCCCAGACUCGCUUUAAGCACCAAGUCUGAAGAGUGCUGAUGGCUGGAGGCCCUGGAAGAUUAACGACAUUGUGAAAGCUGCUCUUCAUGGAAAGAAGGCUGUGGAACAAAUGUGGGCUCUUCCAUCUUGGUUGGCAUAGGGCACUCACAGAGGCUUCCUUGGCUAUUCUGUUCCCUAUGAGGGACACAGAGUCACUAAUGCAACCGGCAGAGGAAGAUCGGUCCGUCUGUUCCUGGAAACUUACACUUAUUUUCUUAAACAGACUAUCUGAACUCACAAGGGGAAACAAGUACUGAGGGCACCCACAGAACCCCGAGAAGCAUUGCAUGCCAUACCAAGAGAGCUUAAGCAUUUACCAGCAGCACCCUCAAGGGUUCCCAGAACCCUGGGCAUGACUGCACAGCUGUGAAAGUUCCUUUGAGUCCUAUUGGUAUUCACAUUUGGAGGCUGCGGUGGUCUGGCUUCUUUCUCACGUCCAGGCACUUGGAGGAACAAGACUUGGCUAACAAGGGGUCAUAGCUUUUUAUUAUCUCUGUUCCCAGACAUGAUGUCUUCAAAUGGAUUUAGAGCUGUGUACACAGGAUUCAAGACAAGAAGUCUGUAAGUGAUGGACUGUGAAUCCAGGAUCCAGGUCGACAUCCACUGAAGCCUAAGGCUCUGGGGUGGACCAGGAUUUGGGCACAGCCUCACCAUUCCUCAUUUGGAAGGGGUUUUAUCCAAGCUGAAAGAAUGUCUUAAUGAAUGUAUAUUUCUUGUUAAUGCCACCCAUUUAUUAGAGAGGCAAGAACACCGUAGCUACAUGUUUUCCUUAUAAAUACUUGUGUCUCAAUAAAAGUCUAUUCAUUUAGAUAUGACAUUCCUGAAAUAAGCAAUAAAUUGAGGUUUGCCUUUUCACUUUCAA